UACAGAGGGUGCGAGCGUUAAUCGGAAUUACUGGGCGUAAAGCGCACGUAGUCGGCUUUGCAAGUCGGGUGUGAAAUCCCCGGGCUCAACCUGGGAACUGCAUCCGAGACUGCAUUGCUAGAGUAUGGGAGAGGGAAGCGGAAUUUCUGGUGUAGCAGUGAAAUGCGUAGAUAUCAGGAAGAACACCAAUGGCGAAGGCAGCUCUCUGGGACGGUACUGACGCUGAGACGCGAAAGCGUGGGGAGCGAACAGG
rnacentral:rRNA from 1 species